UUCUGCCUACGGGGGGCAGCAGUGGGGAAUAUUGCACAAUGGGGGAAAUCCUGAUGCAGCGACGCCGCGUGAGUGAAGAAGUAUUUCGGUAUGUAAAGCUCUAUCAGCAGGGAAGAAAAUGACGGUACCUGACUAAGAAGCCCCGGCUAACUACGUGCCAGCAGCCGCGGUAAUACGUAGGGGGCAAGCGUUAUCCGGAUUUACUGGGUGUAAAGGGAGCGUAGACGGUAGAGCAAGUCUGAAGUGAAAGCCCGCGGCUCAACUGCGGGACGGCUUUGGAAACUGUUCAACUGG
rnacentral:rRNA from 1 species